UGAGGAAUAUUGGGCAAUGCCCGCAAGGGUGACCCAGCAACGCCGCGUGGAGGAUGAAUGUCGUAAGAUUGUAAACUCCUGUUAGAGGGGAAGAAUAGUACCGGUUGGACCGGUAUAUGACUGUACCCUCAGAGAAAGCCCCGGCUAACUACGUGCCAGCAGCCGCGGUAAUACGUAGGGGGCAAGCGUUGUCCGGAUUUACUGGGUGUAAAGGGCGCGCAGGCGGGAUAAAAAGUCAGUGGUGAAAUCCUACAGCUUAACUGUAGAACUGCCUUUGAUACUUAUAUUCUUGAGUUCGGGAGAGAGACGGAAUUCCAGGUGUAGUGGUGAAAUACGUAGAUAUCUGGAAGAACACCAGUUGCGAAGGCGGUCUCUUGGUCCGACACUGACGCUGAGGCGCGAAAGCGUGGGGAGCAAAC
rnacentral:rRNA from 1 species